rnacentral:rRNA from 1 species
UAGAGAUACGUCCUCCCUUGUGGUUUGUAUACAGGUGGUGCAUGGUUGUCGUCAGCUCGUGUCGUGAGAUGUUGGGUUAAGUCCCGCAACGAGCGCAACCCUUGUCUUAUGUUGCCAGCAUUUGGUUGGGGACUCAUGAGAGACUGCCGGGGUCAACUCGGAGGAAGGUGGGGAUGACGUCAAAUCAUCAUGCCCCUUAUGUCCAGGGCUUCACACAUGCUACAAUGGUCGGUACAACGCGCAGCGACACUGUAAGGUGGAGCGAAUCGCUGAAAGCCGGCCUUAGUUCGGAUUGGGGUCUGCAACUCGACCCCAUGAAGUCGGAGUCGCUAGUAAUCGCAGAUCAGCAACGCUGCGGUGAAUACGUUCCCGGGCCUUGUACACACCGCCCGUCACGUCAUGAAAGUUGGUAACACCCGAAGCCAGUGGCUCAAACUCGUUAGGGAGCUGUCGAAGGUGGGAUCGGCGAUUGGGACGAAGUCGUAACAAGGUAGCCGUACCGGAAGGUGCGGCUGGAUCACCUCCUUU